AUACGGAGGGUGCAAGCGUUAUCCGGAAUCGUUGGGUUUAAAGGGUCCGCAGGCGGAUUAAUAAGUCAGUGGUGAAAUCCUCUCGCUCAACGAGAGAACUGCCAUUGAAACUGUUAGUCUUGAAUUCGGUCGAAGUAGGCGGAAUGUGUCAUGUAGCGGUGAAAUGCAUAGAUAUGACACAGAACACCGAUAGCGAAGGCAGCUUACUAGACCUGGAUUGACGCUCAUGGACGAAAGCGUGGGGAGCGAACAGGAUUAGAAACCCUAGUAGUCC
rnacentral:rRNA from 1 species